rnacentral:rRNA from 1 species
GACGAACGCUGGCGGCGGGCCUAAUACAUGCAAGUCGACCGCGUUGCGAAGGGGUGAGUAACGCGUAGGAACCUGCCCCAUUGCGGGGGAUAACCAAUUGAAAAGCUAGCUAAUACCGCCUACUGUAGGAUGGACGUGAUUUGUAUUAGCUAGUAGGUGGGGUAACGGCUCACCACGGCGACGAUCCGUAGCUGGUUUGAGAGGACGACCAGCCACACUGGAACUGAGACACGGCCCAGACUCCUACGGGAGGCAGCAGUGGGGAAUAUUGCACAAUGGGCGAAAGCCUGAUCCAGCCAUCCCGCGUGUGUGAAGAAGGCCUUCGGGUUGUAAAGCACUUUUAGCAGGAAAGCGUUACCUGCAGAAGAAGCACCGGCUAACUCCGUGCCAGCAGCCGCGGUAAUUC